UACAGAGGUCCCAAGCGUUGUUCGGAUUCACUGGGCGUAAAGGGUGCGUAGGUGGCUACUUUAAGUUUGAUGCGAAAGCUCCGGGCUCAACCCGGAAAUGGCAUUGAAGACUAUUGAGCUAGAGGUUUGGAGGGGGGACUGGAAUGCUUGGUGUAGCAGUGAAAUGCGUAGAUAUCAAGCGGAACACCGGUGGCGAAGGCGAGUCCCUGGACAACACCUGACACUGAGGCACGAAAGCUAGGGGAGCAAACAGG
rnacentral:rRNA from 1 species